CUACGGGUGGCAGCAGUGGGGAAUAUUGGACAAUGGGCGAAAGCCUGAUCCAGCCAUGCCGCGUGUGUGAAGAAGGCCUUCGGGUUGUAAAGCACUUUCAGUGGGGAAGAAAGCCUUGGGGCUAAUACCCUCGAGGAAGGACAUCACCCACAGAAGAAGCACCGGCUAACUCCGUGCCAGCAGCCGCGGUAAUACGGAGGGUGCGAGCGUUAAUCGGAAUUACUGGGCGUAAAGCGCGCGUAGGCGGUCUGAUAAGCCGGUUGUGAAAGCCCCGGGCUCAACCUGGGAACGGCAUCCGGAACUGUCAGGCUAGAGUGCAGGAGAGGAAGGUAGAAUUCCCGGUGUAGCGGUGAAAUGCGUAGAGAUCGGGAGGAAUACCAGUGGCGAAGGCGGCCUUCUGGGCUGACACUGACGCUGAGGUGCGAAAGCGUGGGUAGCAAACAGGAUUAGAUACCCUGGUAGUC
rnacentral:rRNA from 1 species